AAAGACUAGACGGGAGAGAUCGGCGCCAGCCGACGCCGACGGAGCAACCCCCCAAGGAAACUCUCAGGCAAAGAAGACCGUCCUGUCGAA
rnacentral:ncRNA from 2 species